CUGCCUCUUAAAGAUGAGGGGCGCUCACUGUGUCUGUUAUGGCACCGUGGUCUCUGGCGCGGCGGAGGAAGGUUUCCGGCCCCAUGUUCCUGGCGAUUUUGAGCCUGGUACACGGUGUGGUCGAUAAUAAUGCUGGCUUUUGGUUUAGUUUCAGUAAAAGAACCGGGAUGGCAAAAGGCUAUUUUGCAGAGUUGUAUUUGCAUCAUGAAAGCAUUCACCUUCAAAUGGCUUCUUGAAAAUGCUUACAGCUGGAAGGAACUUGCUAUGAGUCUUAGAUGAGACUUUGGACUUUUGUUGCUGGAGCAAGUUAAGACUUUUGGGACUACUGGAAUGGAAUGAUUGUAUUUUGUAUAUGAGAAGCACAUGAUUUUUUUGAGGCUAGGGGCAGAAUGCU
rnacentral:lncRNA from 10 species